UGUCAAUGCUCAGCUUUGCGGGGUUAGAGGAGGUGGAAGCGCUGCGGCUCAGUCACUCUUCUGGCAAGCUAAAAGUGGCCUCUCCUUCAGCUUCGCUUUUGAAUCCACGAGAGAAAGGAAUGCAGCAAUAAUGCUCGCAAGAAGAUACGCUUUUGAUUGUAAUAUUGUGCUGGCUGGGCCAAAUGAUAGGUCUUCUGGUGCAGCUUAAGUGAAGCUUAACAGUAAUACUCAGUUGCAAGCAGUGUGAAUUCUGUAACUCUGUAUGUAUGAUUGUAUUGAUGAAGUAGGCUUUGAUUUAGUGAAGAUUUGGUUGAUUUGAGAGAAGAGUAUUGAUUGGUAAGAAUGAUAGUUUAGUUUGUAUCUUAGCAGGUUCUGAUUGUUUUGGUAGCAGAAAAAGUAGGCAUGUUUUUUUAGUUGCCUUCACGAGUUUGUAAUAAUUUUUUUUUUCCGUUUAAUGUUUGAGUAUUCCUAUAACUUGCUUGAUUUAUAUAUAUAUUUUUUAUAUAUUAA